ACCCCUGUGACAUACCUAUACGUUGCCUCGGCGGAUCAGCCCGCGCCCUGUAAAACGGGACGGCCCGCCCGAGGACCCUAAACUCUGUUUUUAGUGGAACUUCUGAGUAAAACAAACAAAUAAAUCAAAACUUUCAACAACGGAUCUCUUGGUUCUGGCAUCGAUGAAGAACGCAGCAAAAUGCGAUAAGUAAUGUGAAUUGCAGAAUUCAGUGAAUCAUCGAAUCUUUGAACGCACAUUGCGCCCGCCAGUAUUCUGGCGGGCAUGCCUGUUCGAGCGUCAUUUCAACCCUCAAGCUCAGCUUGGUGUUGGGACUCGCGGUAACCCGCGUUCCCCAAAUCGAUUGGCGGUCACGUCGAGCUUCCAUAGCGUAGUAAUCAUACACCUCGUUACUGGUAAUCGUCGCGGCCACGCCGUAAAACCCCAACUUCUGAAUGUUGACCUCGGAUCAGGUAGGAAUACCCGCUGAACUUAAGCAUAUCAUAAG
rnacentral:rRNA from 1 species